UUCCACAACAGCGUGCAUGCAACAGUCGCCCGACUUUCACGCUUCUCUCGGGACAGCAACCCGUCCGACCAGUCAACCUACCGCGCACUGGUAACUGGCAUGUUGUCUGAUCUCACACUUCAAAGCAGUGUUUACAGUUACGCACGUGCAACUGACAUCGCGUGCUGAUGCACGUGCUGCCGCGAGAUCACGGGAUCUACAGCCCUGACUGCAAGGCGUCAUGUCUGCUCUCCCACGUGUUGCGGUAUUGAUCUUAACUGUCUGUGUUCGCAUCGCAUCAGUGCUGAGCCUGAAGUGUGCCCAGUGCACGUCAAUCCACACCCGGCCCUGUGCGAGCGGGAGGGUGGAGCCGACAGAUUGUAUGGGCCUGUAUCAAGGAGCACAGUUUUGUGUGACGUACGCCGGCACUAUCAGAACAGGUCGGGUUGUGUUCCGCGACUGCAGCUACGUGGACAUGCACACCAUCUGCCGGAGCCAGCUGAUGGAGAACCAGAAGACGGAGGUCUGCUAUGAAACGUGCGACACAGAUGGGUGUAACUCCGUGCCCAGCUCAAGCCGCCCCUUCUAUACACCAGGUGCAAUCGUCAUGCCAUGUCUGAUCCUGGCAUUACUCAUGCCCAGGUGACAUGUCUAAUCCUGGCAUUACUCGCUGGCAUCAAUCAUGUAUAGAUGACAUGUCUCAUCCUGGCAUUACUCAUGCCCAGGUGACAAGUCUCGUCCUGGCAUUACUCAUGCCCAGGUGACAGGUCUCAUCCUGGCAUUACUCAUGCCCAGGUGACAGGUCUCAUCCUGGCAUUACUCAUGCCCAGGUGACAUGUCUAAUCCUGGCAUUACUCGCUGGCAUCAAUCAUGUAUAGAUCACAUGUCUCAUCCUGGCAUUACUCAUGCCCAGGUGACAAGUCUCGUCCUGGCAUUACUCAUGCCCAGGUGACAGGUCUCAUCCAGGCAUUACUCAUGCCCAGGUGACAGGUCUCAUCCUGGAAUUACUCAUGACCAGGUGACAUGUCUAAUACUGGCAUUACUCGCUGGCAUCACUCAUGUAUAGAUGACAGGUCUCAUCCCGACUUUACUCAUGCCAGGUGGCAGGUCUUAUGCUGGCAAUACCCAUGCUCAGGUGGCAGAUCUGAUCCUGACAUUAUUCAUUCUCAGGUGACAGGUCUUAUCCUGACAUUAUUCAUGUUCAGGUGACAGGUCUUAUACUGGCAUUAUUCAUGCUCAGGUGACAGAUCUCAUCCUGACGUUAUUCGUGCUCAGAUAACAGGUCUGAUCCUUGCAUUAUCAUGCGCAGGUGACAGGUCUAAUCCUGACAAUACAGAUGCUCAGGUGACAUAUCUGAUCCUGGCAAUACAGAUGCUCAGGUGACAGAUUUCAUCCUGGCAUUACUCAUGCUCAGGUGACAGAUCCCAACCUGGCAUUAUUCAUGCGCGGGUGACAGAUCUCAUCCUGGCAAUACAGAUGCUCAGGUGACAGAUCUCAUCCUGGCAAUACAGAUGCUCAGGUGACAGAUCUCAUCCUGGCAAUACAGAUGCUCAGGUGACAGAUCUCAUCCUGGCAAUACAGAUGCUCAGGUGACAGAUCUCAUCCUGGCAAUACAGAUGCUCAGGUGACAGAUCUCAUCCUGGCAAUACAGAUGCUCAGGUGACAGAUUUUAUCCUGGCAAUACAGAUGCUCAGGUGACAGAUCUCAUCCUGGCAUUACUCAUGCUCAGGUGACAGAUCCCAUCCUGGCAUUAUUCAUGCGCAGGUGACAGAUCUCAUCCUGGCAUUACUCAUGCGCAGGUGACAGAUCUCAUCAUGGCAUUACUCAUGCUCAGGUGACAGAUCCCAUCCUGGCAUUAUUCAUGCGCAGGUGACAGAUCUCAUCCUGGCAAUACAGAUGCUCAGGUGACCGAUCUCAUCCUGGCAAUACUGAUGUUAAGGUGAUAGGUGUCAUCCUUGUAUUUACCCACGUCCAUGCGACAGCUGGGUUCAUCGUUUCAUUACUCAUGUGCAGGUGUCAUGGUGAGAUUAUCUCAAACAUCAUUUUAAAUAUAUCGCUGUUGAUAAAAUGUAUGUGGGUUUCAUGGAUUGUUCGGUAGAUGAAGUUUACCCAUCCGAUAACCUGGAACCCGAUUUGGUUGAAUAUUGAACAUGGCCGCACGGAUAAGAACUAUUCCUGCAACUGACUUUGAACUCCUUUGAGGCGCCGUUAAAGCCAUCAAUCGUGAACGAUGUAAUCUAAUUUUCUUAAUGUACAUUUUAGGCAUCGUUAGUGCUUGAACUGUUCUCAGGUUGAUUUGUGACUUGAUUUGUUGAUGCGUGAAUGAGUGAAUAUUGUUAAACGCCGUCGUCAGCAAUAUUCCAGCUAUAUAACAGCGGGCUGUAGAUAAUCGAGUUAGUAACAACCCGAUGGGAUUGGUUCGUCUAGUACACAAACAAUAGAGUGUUGGGAGUAUUCUAUCCUGGGAAUGAGGGGCGAUCGGGUAGCCUAGUGGUUAAAGCGUUCGCUCGUCACGCCGAAGACCCGGGUUCGAUUCCCGACAUGGGUACAAUGUAUGAAGCCAAUUUCUGGUGUCCCCCGCCGUGAUAUUGCUGGAAUAUUGCUAAAAGCGGCGUAAAACCAUACUCACUCACUCACUCACUAUUCUGGGAACUGACGUGUCCUUCCAGAAUUGACUGUCCACUCAAAGAGGACCUCUGAUAAAGGCAGCACUUGUUCAAAGACACGAAGACACCGUUACAGAAUAUGGAGUGUUGUUCAUCAUGUAUGUUAGGUGAUAGGUCUAUUGUUUGAACUGUGUGUUUGUUAUGGUUGAUUAGCAUGUGUAUAUCGAGUAACUGUGAGAUUGUAUUGUACAUUAAAGUUCAGCAAUUGUAGUUGAUAAAUUUCUAAUUUUACAGAUGUUGUUUGGCGUGAGAUAUUCACCUGUUUUGCCUACAGCCUUAAAGUAUGAAUGUUUUAAUUACAUGUGUACCCAACAGGAUCGAAUUAUGUUUGAUAAACCUACGUAUAAGAAAUUAUA
rnacentral:misc_RNA from 1 species